GCACUGCUGAUGAGACCCAACCAGAUCGAAACGGCUGUUCAGUGC
rfam:Echinostoma caproni strain Egypt genome assembly, scaffold: ECPE_scaffold0002913